CCACACAUUAUAGAAGCUAUUUAUUGGCGAUUUGAAUCUUGACUUGUAGCUGCAAAGUGUCAUAAUCCAAAAAAUCAACUCAAGAAGAACGGCUUUUAAUAAACUACUGGGAAUCCUUAAUGUUUAGAAAUCUUUAUACAACAUAGAAGAACAGCAAAUGUGCGAUAUGAACAUUUUUUAUCCCAUACGAUGCUGGGAUUAAUUGCGUUGGCAUGUGGCGUGUGGCAGCAGCUGAUGCACGUAAGUGACGCUAUCAACCUUGGCAAUACAUUUGGCUAAAUCUCUGACGUAUUGCCGGUUCGAUUGUAUGUAAAAAUAAAUUCGCGAUUAAUCAGACAAAAAUGCAAGAAUACCUAGUAUAAUAAUUUAAUAAGAAAAGUUGCAGCAAUG